UUUUUCUUACUUUUUGGCUUUUUGGGUGAUUCAUACGGUGCGUGGGACUGCAGGGAAUCCAAUUAAACCUUGACAACAACAAUGCUUUGCAGUGACACUUGACACCCAAGUGUCAGAAAUUUGAGCUCCAACAGUGAAAUAAAUACUUCGUGGAUCAGAAAAUUAAAAGCUCCAGCUAAAUCUGAUGGUCACGCCUUAUAAUUUUAUUUCUUUGUGUGCCAUACUUAUUGGGCAAUGAAAGGUUCCAUCACACUUUACAUC
rnacentral:lncRNA from 1 species